UAAGGAUCUUUAAAGAACAUUGUCACAAAGAAGGUAUCUCGGGAAUGUAUGGGUUUUGUGACUCUAAUGUUCUAUCGCCUUUGACACCAACGACAAACCAGCAAGUUCGAUCUAACUAUCUAGCUCGUGUUUUUGGGUGCAAUGAGGGGAAGAACUAUAAUCAGCUAUUCUUUGCUCCUUUUAAUGACAAUAUGCAUUGGACGUUAGCUGUUAUUAGUCCGUGGAAUGGAUUGGUGUAUUGGAUAGAUCCACUUGGAGCAGAAAAUAAAACCAACUCAUUCGCUGAAAAGAUCAUCACUGUGUAUGUAUAAUUGCAAUAACUUUGACAUUAACUUCUUAUUUUGUUCUUACAGUGUAUUUGGAAACUAUUACAAUUUUCCUAUAUUCAUGUAAUUGUGUAGAGGAAUCAAACAAUUCAGUUCCUAUCUUCAUGUAAUUGUGUAGAGGAAUCAAACAAUUCAGCUCGGUCCAUCGGAAGGACAUCAAGAAAAUAAAAAAGAAUGCAUAUAUUAGGUGGGAGCAACCACAAUGUCCUCGUCAACCAGCAUACACCAAGUAUUGUGGAUACUUUGUUUGUCGAUAUAUGCUAGAUAUUGUGCAGAAAAGAGUGUUAUGGGUUUCCAAGCUGGUCUUUCCCCCAAUUUGUACAUAUUCUUCGGAAGAUAUUGAUGAAAUGCGAGAUUUGUGGAUUAAAUAUGUUCUUGAUCAUGAGCCAGAUGACGAAGAUUCAUGAUGGAUGAGCUUGAUAGAUGAUGAAUCAGCAAAGCUUGAAUACGAGAUAAGCUUAGUGUUAAUCAUUAUACUUGUGAAUCUACCUCUACUUUUGACUCUUUUUUGGAGGAAAAGCUCUACACUUGAGUUUUGUUUUUGAAUAUUAGAAUUAAUGUAAAUUUUGGGUUUUAUUUC